GGAAAACGGAUUUGGCACCGGUUCAACACAAACCGGUGAGAAAAGCCUAUUUACAACCGGUUCGAACCGGUGCCCAAUUUAAACAAAAAAAUCCGCCUUAUAGCUUCUUCUUCCUUCAGUUCGUUUAAUUAUUUCGCAUUCCCCUAAUCCCCUGCUUUCCCAAUUGCUCUUUUUCUCGCCUACGACCCUAACUGCAACUUCAAUUAUUCUUCCUCUCUCGUUCUCGCCUACGACCCUCACCAUUGCUCUCCUUUGCUGUCCUCCAUUGAAGCUCAUUCUGGGUUUCUCACCUCCAUUGCCGCGCAACUCUUCUCUUUCUCUCCAUAACUCUCCUCCAUUGAAGCGCAUUCUGUCGAGCUUUCUGACCUCCAUUGAAGCGCAUUUUUAGCUUUCCAACUCCAUUGUAGCAGCUUCGAGGUAUCUGUAAAAGGUACCAGUGAUGAGGCUGAAGCUGCAAAAGUUGCACGCUCUGUAGCAUCUUCUUCUCUUGUCAAGGCUGCUGUGUACGGACGAGAUCCGAACUGGGGACGUAUUGCCUGUGCUGCUGGCUAUGCAACAGUCCCUUUCAACUUAAGCAAACUUCUAAUAUCACUCGGAGACAUUCUGCUAAUGGAUGAUGGACAGCCCCUUCCAUUCGAUCGGGCGGCUGCCAGUAGUUACCUUCAGAGAGCUGGGGAGGAACACGGUACUGUUGAAAUAUGCAUCUCAGUGGGUAAGUUGAGCAUCAGAGCAUCUAUCUAAAUUUGCACAUGACUUAUUUUUUUUUUUAUGAAAUUGAAUUGGUGAUACGGGGGAAGGAAAUAUCGUAGCUAUUCCUGUUCCCUUCGAUUGAACACAGACAUUAGUUUACAAAUUUGGAUAUAUCUUUGGUGUCAUAAAGUUGAGAUCCAGGUUUGAUAUUCAAUUCCAUCCUUUUGGGCUUUAUGGGGCAUCACUUCACAUGACUUUAGUGUUGGAAGGGUUCAAGCCACUUGUUCCUCUAGUCAUUUCCUCUUAUACAUGUAAUUCUGGAGUUCAUUCAAGUUAUUGAUGUA